ensembl:lncRNA
UUAGAGGUGUGGUAUUGGGUAGAGGUGUGGUAUUGGUUAAGGGUGUGGUAUUGGGUAGAGGUGGUAUUGGGUAAGGGUGUGGUAUUGGUUAAGGGUGUGGUAUUGGUUAAGGUUGUGGUAUUGGUUAAGGUGGUGGUAUUGGGUAGAGGUGUGGUAUUGGUUAGAGGUGUGGUAUUGGGUAGAGGUGUGGUAUUGGUUAAGGGUGUGGUAUUGGGUAGAGGUGUGGUAUUGGGUAGAGGUGUGGUAUUGGGUAGAGGUGUGGUAUUGGGUAGAGGUGUGGUAUUGGUUAAGGGUGUGGUAUUGGGUAGAGGUGUGGUAUUGGUUAAGGGUGUGGUAUUGGGUAGAGGUGUGGUAUUGGUUAAGGGUGUGGUAUUGGGUAGAGGUGUGGUAUUGGUUAAGGGUGUGGUAUUGGGUAGAGGUGUGGUAUUGGGUAGAGGUGUGGUAUUGGUUAGAGGUGUGGUAUUGGGUAGAGGUGUGGUAUUGGUUAAGGGUGUGGUAUUGGUUAAGGGUGUGGUAUUGGGUAGAUGUGUGGUAUUGGUUAAGGGUGUGGUAUUGGGUAGAGGUGUGGUAUUGGGUAGAGGUGUGGUAUUGGUUAAGGGUGUGGUAUUGGGUAGAGGUGUGGUAUUGGGUAGAGGUGUGGUAUUGGUUAAGGGUGUGGUAUUGGGUAGAGGUGUGGUAUUGGGUAGAGGUGUGGUAUUGGUUAGAGGUGUGGUAUUGGUUAAGGGUGUGGUAUUGGGUAGAGGUGUGGUAUUGGGUAGAGGUGUGGUAUUGGUUAAGGGUGUGGUAUUGGUUAAGGGUGUGGUAUUGGGUAGAGGUGUGGUAUUGGUUAAGGGUGUGGUAUUGGUUAAGGGUGUGGUAUUGGUUAAGGGUGUGGUAUUGGUUAAGGGUGUGGUAUUGGGUAGAGGUGUGGUAUUGGGUAAGGGUGUGGUAUUGGUUAAGGGUGUGGUAUUGGUUAAGGGUGUGGUAUUGGGUAGAGGUGUGGCAUUGGUUAAGGGUGUGGUAUUGGGUAGAGGUGUGGUAUUGGUUAAGGGUGUGGUAUUGGUUAAGGGUGUGGUAUUGGGUAGAGGUGUGGUAUUGGUUAAGGGUGUGGUACUGGUUAAGGGCGUGGUAUUGGGUAGAGGUGUGGUAUUGGUUAAGGGUGUGGUAUUGGGUAGAGGUGUGGUAUUGGGUAGAGGUGUGGUAUUGGUUAAGGGUGUGGUAUUGGGUAGAGGUGUGGUAUUGGUUAAGGGUGUGGUAUUGGUUAAGGGUGUGGUAUUGGGUAGAGGUGUGGUAUUAGGUAGAGGUGUGGUAUUGGGUAGAGGUGUGGUAUUGGGUAGAGGUGUGGUAUUGGUUAGAGGUGUGGUAUUGGGUAGAGGUGUGGUAUUUGGUAGAGGUGUGGUAUUGGUUAGAGGUGUGGUAUUGGGUAGAGGUGUGGUAUUGGGUAGAGGUGUGGUAUUGGUUAGAGGUGUGGUAUUGGGUAGAGGUGUGGUAUUGGUUAAGGGUGUGGUAUUGGGUAGAGGUGUGGUAUUGGCUAAGGGUGUGGUAUUGGGUAGAGGUGUGGUAUUGGGUAGAGGUGUGGUAUUGGUUAAGGGUGUGGUAUUGGGUAGAGGUGUGGUAUUGGUUAAGGGUGUGGUAUUGGGUAGAGGUGUGGUAUUGGGUAGAGGUGUGGUAUUGGGUAGAGGUGUGGUAUUGGGUAGAGGUGUGGUAUUGGAUAGAGGUGUGGUAUUGGAUAAGGGUGGGGUAUUGCUUAAGGGUGUGUAUUGGGUAGAGGUGGGGUAUUGCUUAAGGGUGUGGUAUUGGGAGAGUGUGGUAUUGGGUAGAGGUGUGGUAUUGGGUAGAGGUGUGGUAUUGGUAGAGGUGUGGUAUUGGGUAGAGGUGUGGUAUUGGGUAGAGGUGUGGUAUUGGUUAAGGGUGUGGUAUUGGGUAGAGGUGUGGUAUUGGGUAGAGGUGUGGUAUUGGUUAAGGGUGUGGUAUUGGUUAAGGGUGUGGUAUUGGGUAGAGGUGUGGUAUUGGUUAAGGGUGUGGUAUUGGUUAAGGGUGUGGUAUUGGUUAAGGGUGUGGUAUUGGUUAAGGGUGUGGUAUUGGGUAGAGGUGUGGUAUUGGGUAAGGGUGUGGUAUUGGUUAAGGGUGUGGUAUUGGUUAAGGGUGUGGUAUUGGGUAGAGGUGUGGCAUUGGUUAAGGGUGUGGUAUUGGGUAGAGGUGUGGUAUUGGUUAAGGGUGUGGUAUUGGUUAAGGGUGUGGUAUUGGGUAGAGGUGUGGUAUUGGUUAAGGGUGUGGUACUGGUUAAGGGCGUGGUAUUGGUAG